UGGGCAGCACUGAAGUCCCUGACCGCUUUCCACCGUCACAGACACGGCCCCAAAUAGCCCUUGCGAAUACAACUCUCUGGUAAGCUCAUGUCUUCCUUAGGGCACAUUCUCAGAAGUGAAACUACUGUGAUCCAAACCAAGAAACGCUUUUUUUAAAAGCUCCAGACACGUUUGGGCAAACUUAACGGCACUGGAAAGGCUAAUGAGAAGGGGAAAAUUUUACGAGGUGACAUAGAUGGCAUCCCAGUUUUGUUUUUGAAAAUAAUAUAACUUUACAGGCUGGACUACAAUGCGCCACGAGGUGACAGUGAUUGCACGAAGGUGGCAGAAAGAUACAACUCAUCAAUGGGAGACAGGCACCAGAACAUUCACGGUUGUCUGCGGGACGAAACCAAGACCCCAGUUUCCCUCCGGGGCCACGCAGCCCCAGCCAGCCAGCAAGGCUUACAGCUGUGGCCCCUGCCCCUGACUCUCCCGUGGGUCUCCCCAGCUGGCCCAGUCUAGGAGGCCUUCCAGCCUCCAAGUCCACCCAGGCCAAGACCUGAACGUGCAACUCUCCAAAAUGAGCACUAAACACCCAAAGCAGG